rnacentral:lncRNA from 1 species
AGAGAGCUCUUUGCUGAUGCCUGGAGCAUUAAAAUCACAGCUGUCUCCCCAGUGUAGGACCUCUAAAGAAAGCUUACAGCAAAGUCCUCAGCAACUCAUCACAUAAGAGGGAGAUCAGGGGAGGAAGCACUGCUGAACAUGAGGCUCUAUGAAUUGUAUAAGUAUCUGAAAGGUGCUUACAGCCAGAGUGGGGCUGGUCUCUUCUCACUGGUGACAGGUGACAGGAUGAGGGGAAAUGACCUCACAUUGCUCCAGGCUCUUCUAUUGGAGGAGACAGUGAAGCUUCAGUCUAUGUCUGCCCUUUUGGAAACUCUCUGGAUAUUUGGAAACUUCAGUUCUAUUGCACAGUGGGACACCUCCUUGCUGGCGGAAGAGUCUAAGCUGUCCUUUUGGAGGAAAGUGCUUCUGUACCUUGAAAUAUCCUUACUGCCUUUCUCUGAGCCCUUAGUGGUGCUAUCACAUUUUUUUGUAUGUUUGUUUAUUUUUCAGGCAAGGGAACCAAACAUAUCAAGGUGUGGGUGUGGUCCAGAAUGACAUUUUCUGUUUUGUUCUCUGUUCCUUUUCUUACGGUUCUGUCACUGCUUUCCUCUUGCUGUUUGAGCUGCUUUCAGUGCUGAGCUUGUGCUUUUGUGAACUGUUGAUCACAGCCCCAGUUCUUACUGACCUUUACUGGCUUACUACAGGUUUUGUUUUGUCUGAAAUAACCUCUCAUUCCCUAUAUGUGAAAGCUCUGUACAUCAUUCACAAGUUUUGUGAAUCUGUAUAUGCUUCUACUACUCCAAGUUCCUGUCUUUACUCUUGCAUAGCUAUAUGGCAACACCUGUAACCUUGUGUUUGUUGUGUUAGCUUUCUUCCCACAACUUCUGAGACUAAACAAGUAUGUAUAUCAUGUUCUCAUGAAAUAUAACACGGGACAUUUUAAAGUGUAGAUAUAUGUGGGUGCAUGGCCACCUGAAUAAAUAGGGAGGAAAGGAUGUGGGGGGACUCUGGGCCCUGAAGAUAGGCGAAGGGUGAGCUGUCAUGCAAGAAGGAGCAGUCUGGAGGUGGGGAUAUCGUCCACUACAUCUGCACAGCACCACGGCUUUCUGCUUCUCUCUCACAAAGAAACUGAAAAAGUCCCAAGUCAUAAAUUAUUUUAUGCUGAGAGAAGAUUCGGGAAAAUUAUCAGUUUGUAGCUAGCUUGUUCUUAUAUUCUUCCCUAGCUAUCUAUUUUUUUAACCCCAUUGGAGUCAGGAGGUCUUUCAUUUUUCUGUUUAUGUUCUCUGGCUGCAAUGCAGCAGUGUGUAUCCUCAGUAAACCAUCUCUUUUUUGCUGUCACUGUAAUGGGGGAGAGAGGGAAGGAGGAGAGGAAGAUAUACGUACUUUCUUGCCAGCUUUCUGCUCUGGCUGUCUCAUAUCUGGCUGAUUGUACUGUAAGAGCAGCUUUUUCAUGGUCUGUCACUUGUGCUUUGGUUCUAACUAUAAAUAGGGAAUGCAUUGGUAUCCAUUAAUGUGCUUCUUUUCUAAGUGACUUUCAAGCUUCAGAAAAGACCAGAGUUUUGUUUGAAAGUUUGAGUCCUCCUGCUUAUCCCAAAUUUUCUGUGUGUUAUAAAUACUUUGUCAACCCCUUGUCAAGUGCAACUGCUCUGUGAGACCCUUUUGACUGUUACUGCAUGCCCAUAUAUAUGGUAGCUAUCUCCUUUGUCCUUGCACUGUCUGUUGCAUCCACAUAAUUCGAGAAAGGGUAUAUUUUAGCAGUGGGCAACAUAAGAAAUUUUUUUACAAACAUUGCAGAGAAAUUGUAACUCAACUACCCUCAGAUCGUUUUUUUCCCUUUCUCUUUAUAAUGCAAUAAAACAUCUUUUUUUUAUUUAGCUGGGGUAGCAUUGGAUUUAGGUAGGAAAUCUUGUGGAUUUCUUUGGUGCUUUUGUGAGAUUAGAAAUAAAAUAAAGUAAGUGAAACAAAUUUCACAAAAUACAAAUUGAUAUACUGUAGGUAUGAAAUACAGAGAUAACUGCUCCAGAUUUUAAGCCAAUCACUCUAAAGACUUGCAAAAUGCAUCUAUCUGAAAACAGGUAAUUUGCAUUGAGUUCCAGUUCAACGUAUUAGAGUGAAACCACAUCCACUGCUAAACUGUAAAUGACUGAAUCAAAUCCUCCUGUGAUUCUCAGUGUUUAUGGCCAUAGGCUUCUUGGAUAAUUAUAUACACAUAGUUUGGUGGUUUGUUUGUUUGUUUUCCAAAAUGCAGAGGAAUAACAUCACAUUUAACACUUAAAUUUGGAGACAUUCCCAUAGACUUGGUGUAACUGUUGUAGCAACUGUCAGCAAUUACUGGAAAUGGGACUAGCAUCUUCAGAAGUAAUCAGUUUCAAUUUUGUCUGUCUACACACCUUGCAAUAAAACCAUGAAUC